rnacentral:rRNA from 1 species
AGAGGUUUGAUCCUGGCUCAGAGCGAACGCUGGCGGUAUGCUUAACACAUGCAAGUCGAGCGAGAAAAUGGCUUCGGCCAUGAGUACAGCGGCGGACGGGUGUGAGUAAUACUGGGAUAAUCUGCCUUUAGGACUGGGGACAACCCUGGGAAACUAGNAGGGCUAAUACCGGAUAAGACCACAGAAUCUGCGGAUUCAGUGGUAAAAGGUGGCUUUCGGGCUAUCACCUAGAGAUGAGUCCAUGUCCCAUCAGGUUGUUGGUGAGGUAACGGCCCACCAAGCCUAAGACGGGUAGCCGGCCUUAGCGGGUGAUCGGCCACACGGGGACUGAGACACGGCCCCGACUCCUACGGGAGGCAGCAGUGGGGAAUAUUGGACAAUGGGCGCAAGCCUGAUCCAGCAAUACCGCGUGAGGGAUGAAGGCCCUAGGGUCGUAAACCUCUGUCAGUUGGAACGAUGGGUUUGUAGGUUAAUACCCUGCAAACUUGACGGUACCUUCAAAGGAAGCCCCGGCUAACUCCGUGCCAGCAGCCGCGGUAAUACGGAGGGGGCAAGCGUUUGCUCGGAAUUACUGGGCGUAAAGGGUCCCGCAGGUGGCUUU